GACGAACGCUGGCGGCGUGCCUAGUACAUGCAAGUAGAACGCUGAAGGAGGAGCUUGCUCUUCUGGAUGAGUUGCGAACGGGUGAGUAACGCGUAGGUAACCUGCCUGGUAGCGGGGGAUAACUAUUGGAAACGAUAGCUAAUACCGCAUAACAGUAGAUGUUGCAUGACAUUUACUUAAAAGGUGCAAUUGCAUCACUACCAGAUGGACCUGCGUUGUAUUAGCUAGUUGGUGGGGUAACGGCUCACCAAGGCGACGAUACAUAGCCGACCUGAGAGGGUGAUCGGCCACACUGGGACUGAGACACGGCCCAGACUCCUACGGGAGGCAGCAGUAGGGAAUCUUCGGCAAUGGACGGAAGUCUGACCGAGCAACGCCGCGUGAGUGAAGAAGGUUUUCGGAUCGUAAAGCUCUGUUGUAAGAGAAGAACGAGUGUGAGAGUGGAAAGUUCGCACUGUGACGGUAUCUUACCAGAAAGGGACGGCUAACUACGUG
rnacentral:rRNA from 1 species